GCCAGUGUAGUGUAGUGGUUUGAGCAUUGGACUGUGACACUGGAGGCCAGGGUUUGAAUCCCGGCUUGGCCA